CCGGACCUGACUGCUAUCGGAUUGGUACUAAGCCAUGCGAGUCAUUGUAGCAAUACAAGGCGGACGGCUCAGUAACACGUAGUCAACCUAACUCGUGGACGUGGAUAACCUCGGGAAACUGAGAAUAAACCACGAUAGAUCAUAGUGCCUGGAAUGGCUUAUGGUCCAAACAGUUUACUGCCAUGGGAUGGGACUGCGGCCUAUCAGCUUGUUGGUGAGGUAAUGGCCCACCAAGGCGAUUACAGGUACGGGCUCUGAGAGGAGAAGCCCGGAGAUGGGUACUGAGACACGGACCCAGGCCCUAUGGGGCGCAGCAGGCGAGAAACCUUAGCAAUGUGCGAAAGCACGACUGGGUCAGUCCGAGUGAUUCCUGAUAAAGGAGUCUUUUGCCUGUCCUAAAAGCACAGGUGAAUAAGGGGUGGGCAAGUCUGGUGUCAGCCGCCGCGGUAAUACCAGCACCUCGAGUGGUCAGGACGUUUAUUGGGCCUAAAGCAUCCGUAGCCGGCUCUGCAAGUCUUCGGUUAAAUCCACCUGCUCAACAGAUGGGCCGCUGGAGAUACUACAGAGCUAGGGAGUGGGAGAGGCAGACGGUAUUCAGUGGGUAGGGGUAAAAUCCUCUGAUCCAUUGAGGACCACCAGUGGCGAAGGCGGUCUGCCAGAACACGUUCGACGGUGAGGGAUGAAAGCUGGGGGAGCAAACCGGAUUAGAUACCCGGGUAGUCCCAGCUGUAAACGAUGCAAACUCGGUGAUGCAUUGGCUUAUGGCCAAUGCAGUGCCGCAGGGAAGCCGUUAAGUUUGCCGCCUGGGAAGUACGGACGCAAGUCUGAAACUUAAAGGAAUUGGCGGGGGAGCACCACAAGGGUGAAGCCUGCGGUUCAUUGGAUUCAACGCCGGG
rnacentral:rRNA from 1 species